CCAAAAUUCACAUCAUAUCCCAAAAUAAAAUAAAAAACCCAAUUUCAUAUUCUAUUACGUUAGGGUUUUAAGUCUAAUUUCUUUAAUAAACAUUGAAAUUCAAGAUUUUCACUCCUCUUCAGGUUCAACUUCAGCACCAUCAAAAGUCCAACUAUUCUUAAAACGAAUCGCCGCCUCUUCCUCCGCCGUAAGAUCAUUCUCGAUACCAAAAUAGUUUCUCACAUACACAACAUUCUUAUUCUUGAUCCGAUCCGCAACAGCCUGAGUCAAAACCUCAAAAAGACUCUCCAUAUUCAAGUAAUGAACAGCAAGAAGAAACUCCUUCAACUCAUCGUUGUUGAGAUCCUCGACGGAAAACUCCUUCACCUUAUCGUCAUCGGAGAGAGUUUGGUACUCGACGAUCUUGUUGAUGUGGGAAGAAGAGACGUUGAGGAGAGGAAUGACGGAGACGUUGGCGUCGGAGUCUUCGAUGAUGGUUCGAACGGUUUUCAUGUUCUUGGUGAGAGAUGGUGUGGCUUCGAAAACGACGCCGUCUGCAGUUCUGAGAGAGAUUGACAUCGUGUUCAACUAGGGUUUGGGGGUGAAAAGUGAAAGGUAAAGGUAAAAGUUACUUUGUGGAGAGAAGAUAUCGUGUUUCUUUUUAUAGAGGCAGAUUUAUUUAUUUAUUUUUUUCAAUCUUUUUCUUCUUGGACAAGCUACUCACAGUGUAAUCGUUGUUGUAUAUCCUAUAUUUUUUAUAAGAUGUAUUUGUCUUUGUUUCCAAAAAUGCCUUUGAUUAUAAAAGUGUAAUAAACACAAAUGUUCAGUUUUUUCAAUAUUUAAAAAGUG
rnacentral:lncRNA from 1 species